rnacentral:lncRNA from 1 species
UGGCGACCUCUCUGGGUUCCAGCGCCUAAAACAGGCAAAACUGGGAGGACGUCGAUUUCUCCAUUCUGUGCCAGAUAUGUCUCAGAGAAACAUGACCAAGGAGAACUAUGAGAAAAAAUGCAAACUCUGUCAGGCCAUUCAGUGUUUGGCUGGUGCCCGGGGGAGCACAUGCAUCCCAAGAAGACUGAAGGGGGCCAAGCCUGCAGGAAAUGUCUGUCAGACUUGCCUCUUAGACCUAGAGUAUGACUGCCCAUACAGGUUCAUGACACAGACUUGCCUUUAAAGGUGACUGCAGAUAUGGACAGAGGAAUUUCUAACCCUGAUAGAACAUGGCCAGUUGCUCUGCUGGGGAAAGCCACGUCCAGUAGUGAGAUGCUGCUCAAACUGGCCCGGACCACACUGUACUGGCUGAGGAAUAAGCCUUACAUUUGUUCUGUCCAGGUGAAAGGAGAGGACUGUCCGUAAAGACAUGAGAAGCCUGCAGAUCCCGAUGACCCCCUCUUGCUGGUCAAAAUAUUAAAGAUCGAUAUUGUGGAAACAAUGACCCUGUAGCAGAUAAGCUUCUAAAGCAGGCUUCAACCACGCUUCAUCUUGAAUCACCAGCAGAGAAGGAUUCCACCAGAGUGUAUGUUGGUGAUCUGGCGGAUACCAUUACUCAGACAGAUUUAAGAAAUUGUCUCUGCCUGUUGGUGAGAUCCGGAUGGUCACCGUUGUGCAGAGAUAGCAGUGUGCCUUUCAUCCAGCUUUCCACAGGGUGGCUACAGAAGUGGGUGCCGACAAGUCCUCUAAUAAACUGAUUGUCAAUGGCUGCAGACUCCGUGUAAAAUGGGGACGAUUCCAAGCACUCAAGGGGAAAAAAAAAAAA